rnacentral:rRNA from 1 species
GGGGAAUAUUUGGCACAAAUGGGGCGAAGGCCUGAUGCAGCAACGCCGCGUGAGGGAAGACGGUUUUCGGAUUGUAAACCUCAGUUUUCGGUGACGAACAAAUGACGGUAACCGAGUAGGAAGCCACGGCUAACUACGUGCCAGCAGCCGCGGUAAUACGUAGGUGGCAAGCGUUGUCCGGAUUUACUGGGUGUAAAGGGCGUGCAGCCGGGCUGACAAGUCAGAUGUGAAAUCCCGAGGCUUAACCUCGGAACUGCAUUUGAAACUGUUGGUCUUGAGUAUCGGAGAGGUCAUCGGAAUUCCUUGUGUAGCGGUGAAAUGCGUAGAUAUAAGGAAGAACACCAGUGGCGAAGGCGGAUGACUGGACGACAACUGACGGUGAGGCGCGAAAGCGUGGGGA